rnacentral:rRNA from 1 species
CUACGUAGGGGGCGAGCGUUGUCCGGAAUGAUUGGGCGUAAAGGGCGCGUAGGCGGCCCGGUAAGUCUGGAGUGAAAGUCCUGUUUUUAAGAUGGGAAUUGCUUUGGAUACUGUCGGGCUUGAGUGCAGGAGAGGUAAGUGGAAUUCCCAGUGUAGCGGUGAAAUGCGUAGAGAUUGGGAGGAACACCAGUGGCGAAGGCGACUUACUGGACUGUAACUGACGCUGAGGCGCGAAAGUGUGGGGAGCAAACAGGAUUAGAUACCCUGGUAGUCCACACUGUAAACGAUGAAUGCUAGGUGUAGGGGGUAUCGACCCCUUCUGUGCCGCCGUCAACACAAUAAGCAUUCCGCCUGGGGAGUACGGCCGCAAGGUUGAGACUCAAAUGAAUUGACGGGG